UUAGUGAAACCUAAUACAAAAUCAGCCUGUAGGACCUUGUGCUGCUAAAGAUAAAGAAUAUAAAAAUCCAGAGUACUUUUGUUAUCAUAUAGACACCUUUGGAGAAGCAGAAGUAGAAUUAGCCAAAUAUAGAUUACCAGCUCCUUCUAAUAAAGUACCUUUUAAUAAAUAAUUUCCUGAUUGUAUUUACCUCCAUAGAAAAAUUGUGUAGUAAAGAAAACAAAAUAUAGUCAAUAAAUAAUAA